AUUGAACGCUGGCGGCAUGCCUUACACAUGCAAGUCGAACGGUAACAGGUCUUCGGAUGCUGACGAGUGGCGAACGGGUGAGUAAUACGUCGGAACGUGCCCGAGAGUGGGGGAUAACGAGGCGAAAGCUUUGCUAAUACCGCAUACGAUCUCAGGAUGAAAGCAGGGGACCGCAAGGCCUUGCGCUCACGGAGCGGCCGAUGGCAGAUUAGGUAGUUGGUGGGAUAAAAGCUUACCAAGCCGACGAUCUGUAACUGGUCUGAGAGGACGACCAGCCACACUGGGACUGAGACACGGCCCAGACUCCUACGGGAGGCAGCAGGGGGGAAUUUUGGACAAUGGGCGCAAGCCUGAUCCAGCCAUGCCGCGUGCAGGAUGAAGGCCUUCGGGUUGUAAACUGCUUUUGUACGGAACGAAAAGACUCUGGUUAAUACCUGGGGUCCAUGACGGUACCGUAAGAAUAAGCACCGGCUAACUACGUGCCAGCCGCCGCGGUAAUAC
rnacentral:rRNA from 1 species